GGAAUGGGAAAGUUAUCGAACCAAAGGAGGAUGGGUCCCCUCCAUGGAUGUUUCUUCCUCCUUCUCCAGCUCUGAACUUUCAACGCCUGAUUUUUUAGGACUUUUUAGGGCUUUUCCGGGACCUUGAGGAGCUGAGGAAGGGAAUCAGCUGGGUAUUGUGAGCUGUUCUGUAGAAUCCUGUUAUGUCUACUCGGUUUCUCAAGACGUGGAGAAUGUGACAUGUUUCUUAAUAAGCAUUUCUGUUUGUUUUUCUAGCAUUUUAACACUCAAAAACGAAUUUAACAAGCUUUGCUAAAGUAUACAAAUAUGUUCUUGCUCUGUCUUUAAAACCCAGGAUGCAUCGGUUGGUGUUUUACCAAGAAGAACUGGCAAAAAUACAGGAAUACCCAGCAUUCAUUGCAAAAUAAAGGCUGACACAAUGGGAAAAGAUGCUGUUCAGACCCAAAAUACCCCCCAAUAUUGUUUUUAAUCUUUUGUAUGUUAAAUAAAUGGUAUAAUAAAUAAAUAGGGAGUGAAUUUAA